AGAUGCUGGGGUUCAGAUGUAAAGAUGCUGGGGUUCAGAUGUAAAGAUGCUGCAGUUUAACUGUGAGUGACAAGAACUAUCAAACCCAGCUGAACAUGUGAGCUACCAUUGAGUCUACAACCAGGAACACAGCCUCCCUCCCGUUACCUCCUUACCCCAGAACCCCUAUACACAUCCAACCUCCAAUAACCCGCUGUACCCCGCCAGCUAUCCUGCCCAAGGCCAAGGUCAGGGCGAGGCUCCCCGGCCCCUCUUCCCUAAGCAGCGGUCCGUGUGACACCCUGCUAUAGCUCCAGCUCUGUAAGAGCCAUCGUCAUUCCGAAAUACAUGAAGCUACACCAAGCUUUCCUGUAAGGGUGUGUAUGCUAUGCCCCUGCACCUUCACCACCGCUCUCUCUCUCUGUCUGUCCUAUGAGAGUGAAGAUGGAGUGGGCAUCCCCUGCUAUGAUGGAAGUGUCAGUAGUUUGUGGACAAGAAAACCUUGUGUGUUGUGCACUGCAUGUUCCACAGAGGAUGUCAGUAGGACCCCUGAUCUUGUGCUGUUAUUGUAGACGACAUCUCACUCCACUUCACCUCACCACCCUACUGGGACUCUGUUCUUCACAUGAACCUAGCUCUCCUCUCUGUCUUCACCUCACCGCCCUACUGGGUCUCUGUUCUUCACAUGAACCUAGCUCUCCUCUCUGUCUUCACCUCACCACCCUACUGGGUCUCUGUUCUUCACAUGAACCUAGCUCUCCUCUCUGUCUUCACCUCACCGCCCUACUGGGUUGAAUUUUGUCCACCACACAGUCAUGGAUAUUUGUGCUAAAUUCCAACCACAUUCAUUGAUUAAGGUAACCCAAUUCAACAAAUCACACAUAAAAAAUAUUUACUUUGAAAAUGUUAUGCAAUUAAAAUAAACAAAAAUGCUAUGUCCUUAUGCGGAAAGUGUGAGUACACCCCUACCUUUACCAUAGGUCCUCUGUAGCUCAGCUGGUAGAGCACGGCGCUUGUAACGCCAAGGUAGUGGGUUCGAGCUGACCGAAAGAAAUAAUAUGAAGACAUGACUGACAUUCGCCAGACAACACCUGUGUAAAGACCACAACUAUUGGAACAAUAUGCUCUGGACAGAUUAGUCAACGGUGGAGUUGUUUGGCCGCAAUUCCAGACGCCAUGUUUGGUGAAAACGAAACACUGUCUUUGAACAGAAUAACCUCCUACCAACUGUAAAGCAUGGAGGCAGUGGCAUUAUGGUUUGGGGCUGCUUUGCUGCCUCAGGGCCAACUUGCCAUCAUUGAGUCAACCAUGAAAUAUAUAUUGUACCAGAGAAUUCUUGAGGAGAAUGUGAGGCCAUCUGUCAAAAAGCUGAAGCUGAACCAAACAUGGAUCCUGCAACAGGACAAUGAUCCAAAACACAAAAGCAAAGCUUCAACAGAAUGGCUCAAAAAUAAGAAAUGGAGGGUUAUGGAAUGGCCGA